ensembl:lncRNA
CAAAGAAAUAGCACAAUCCAGAGGCAUUGAGAGUUUACAUUUCCUUACAUUUGUUAAUGUAUUUUUGCACUUCUUUCUGUGUAAGAAGAUUGAAAUCCCUACCAGGGUAGUAUUGGCAUAAUAGAGUAAAAUCAGACAGUUGCAACAAAUCGUGGCCAUGGAAGAUUUAAAAGCAGAAAAUGGAUGUGGUUCGAAGUAAUGUAAUUACAGUUGACAGCGCGGUGUGUGUAGAAUUCAGAAAGUAUUCUUCUUCUUUAUGUUUGCAUGUGAGUCUGGUUCUGAGGCAAAAAGUUGCUCCUCUUUUCUAAUCUGGAUAACUAUCAGUGUUUUUAAUGAAGAAUAGAAAUGAAAGGGGUGGGAAAUGGAAGAGAUAGCAGAAUGGGGACAUCUUCUCACACACUGAAGAGUUGUACUGUUUUCCCUCAGGGAGAAUCCUAGAAUGGCCUGGGUUGCAAAGGACCACAGUGAUCAUCCAGUUCCAACCCCCUGCUAUGUGCAGGGUCGCCAACCAGCAGACCAGGCUGCCCAGAGCCACAUCCAGCCUGGCCUUGAAUGCCUGCAGGGAUGGGGCAUCCACACCUCCUUGGGCAACCUGUUCAGUGCGUCACCACCCUCUGGGGGAAAAACUUCCUCCUAAUAUCCAACCUAAACCUCCCCUGUCUCAGUUUAAAACAAUUCCCCCUUUGUCCUAUCACUGUCCACCCUCGUAAGCAGGAGGUCUGCGAGAGGCAGAUGUGUGGGGAACCAGGAUCUCAGGGUGACUCCCAUCACCACCUUGAGGCGCAGGGAAUGGCUUUGCUGCAGUGACUUUUAUUGCACUGAAUGUACUAUCCAUGUGACUCCAAAUUCUGAGAUUUUUCUUAAUGGUUUUGAAGCGAGGCUUGAUGCACUGGAGAUGGAAAUCAAUGGGAUUCAGCAAAAAAAGAGUACGUGGUUAUUUCACAUUACAGGAAUAGAUC